rnacentral:rRNA from 1 species
AACGAACGCUGGCGGCAUGCCUAACACAUGCAAGUCGAACGAGACCUUCGGGUCUAGUGGCGCACGGGUGCGUAACGCGGGGGAACCUGCCCUUAGGUUCGGAAUAACUCCCCGAAAGGGGUGCUAAUACCGGAUAAUGUCUUCGGACCAAAGAUUUAUCGCCUUUGGAUGGGCCCGGGUUGGAUUAGCUAGUUGGUAGGGUAAAAGCCUACCAAGGCGACGAUCCAUAGCUGGUCUGAGAGGAUGAUCAGCCACACUGGGACUGAGACACGGCCCAGACUGCUACGGGAGGCAGCAGUGGGGAAUAUUGGACAAUGGGCGAAAGCCUGGUCCAGCAAUGCCGCGUGAGUGAUGAAGGCCUUAGGGUUGUAAAGCUCUUUUACACGGGAUGAUAAUGACAGUACCGGGAGAAUAAGCUCCGGCUAACUCCGUG